UCUCUAGAUCCAAACCCUACGAGGAUGGGAAC
rnacentral:piRNA from 1 species